AAUGAACGCUGGCGGCGUGCUUAACACAUGCAAGUCGAACGAGGCCAGGGGGGCAACUCCCUGAGUCGAGUGGCGGACGGGUGAGUAACACGUGGGUAACCUGCCCGGAAGUGGGGAAUACCGUCGGGGAAACUCGAGCUAAUACCGCAUGACACCGUUGGGACGAGAGUCCCGAUGAUCAAAGCGGGUCGCAAGAUCUCGCGCUACCGGAUGGGCCCGCGCCCGAUUAGCUAGUUGGUGGGGAACGGCUCGACCAAGGCGACGAUCGGUAACCGGCCUGAGAGGCGAUCGGUCACACCGGAACUGAGACACGGUCCGGAC
rnacentral:rRNA from 1 species